AACUCUCCUUUUUUCCAUCCAUCCUUACUGCUUGCAAGGUGUCUGUUGGACUAUUGAUAGGGAUCCUCUAUUUAAGACCAAAGGGAUUACCAGGCUGUGGAAGAAGAAACUGAUGAAUGCUGACAGGAUUUGGAAAAAAAAAAAACAUCCUCUGAAAAUUGAGGAAGAACAGAACAAAACACCUCCAGAUGCAAAAGGCUGAUGUAUCAAUCUACUACCAGAAUAUGGAUUUCAGGUAUCUGAGAUGGACUACUUCAGCUCUAGAAAGUUCUGAGGUGAACUGCUGAGUGUGUCACAGUACAGCUGGUAGAGUUAAGUGUGGAAAGUCAGUCUGAGCACAUGCUGUAAUGGAUUUGACCUCGAAGAGCACAACAAAGAGAAAUUGCAGAUAACCAUCUGAACUGACUUCAGAAGCCUGUAGCCCUAACUCCCUGGAUACCAGGAGAAAAGAGGAGGACUAAAUAGAUUGGAAUGAACAAUCAGAAAUAUAAGAGUGAAUAAAUGCUUCACUCUUCCAAGAAAACAUAGAAGAGCAGUACAUUUCCCUACAUGAUUCCAGUCAUAUUAAGAAAGUGAAAUUCCUUAAAAGACAGCUUUGUAAAAGUAAAAUAUAUAUUGAAUAGAAGUGAGAUGUGAAAGUAGUGUUGGAACAAUAAAGACAUGCAGCUGAGGAGAUCCUAAGCACCUUUUCAUGGUGAGCAAUUACUGAUUAAAAAUUCGAAGAAGAAAGGAGAAACUACUCUCAUGGAGAGUAAAACUUGCAUUCCUCUGAUGCAGUAUAUUUUAAAUUCUUAGUCAGCAUGGAUAAGAAAUUCAGGUAGAAUUAUGUAAGAAUAUGACACAGAUAGAUGUUUCUCUGGUCAUCGCAAAACAUGAUUUCCAAUUCACAGGACUCAGCUGAAUGCUUAUAUGUGGUUUUGGUCAGAAGUACAAGGAAUUUUGCCAUGAGCUGCGAGUUCUGGGGGUGUUCCUUCUCCUGGAAACACUGUGCCUCCCAUUCAAGAUAUGCUCCCUGGACCACCAUUGUGCCUGCAGCAAGAUCUAUUACUUGGUCCAUCCCAGCAGGACCCAGUUUAUGGGUCCUUACAGUUGGCAGUGGUGGAUUUUACAGGGCUAUGCCUCAAAAGGUCAUCAAAUGACAGAGCAUCUGGGAUAUAAAUACAGCCAUUUUUGGAUCAAGUUUUUCUGGGCUGAAGUGCUGUACAUUUUUGAGCAAACCAAAUUCAGAGGCUUCAAUUAAAAUACACGCUGGUUCCCGGCAGGCAAAGUGUGGGAAAAAAUGGCCUUAAGCACGAGAGGUGUAGGUAUGCAGAAAUGAAAGCAGAGGGUGAAAGCACAACUAUUUGAUUUAUUCAAUAGUAUAAAAGGGCAAAUAUCUGCAACUUGAACGAUUCCAUCAGUUUGACCUUCCUAAAGUUAACUUGAGACUGCAAAAAUCACUGUACUGUAUGCUUCUGUUCUAAAACAAGUUGAUGGAAGAUAGAAAAGAAAAUGGAGGCUAAGAGAGUCAAAGAACAUCUGUGUUUGUUGUCCCAGAAAACAUCAAGACAGAACUGGGAAUAGAGCCCAGCUCACAUUGUAUCCACUACUUGUUAUAAGGAUGGGCUUUCCACUUGGUUAUUCUUCAUAUCACAUUUAUUAGCAGAAGUAGGAUUAGGAGGAGCUUUGUGGAUGCUCUGGGACUGGAGACUGCUGUGAUCAAGUGCUACUUGUUUUCUGUCUAUUGUGUUUAAAAAGGGAGGAAGAGUAAGAAGAUAGAAAGUGUGCACAUGUUCACUGCUGCAUCUACUCUACAAAGCCCCGAGUCAGAGUAAAAAUAAGCCUUUGAAGAGAAUAUAGACAGCAGUGUAUUUAGUUUUGAUUUAUUAAAAUAGUUUUCAGACUGCAGUCUUAUUUGUCCUGUGAGAACUGUGCUCUCUGGUAAUGGGAGCAUUGAAUUUUCAUGUGAAACAUUUUAGAGAGCAUAUUUUUUUUCACGUACAAGAGUGUGACAAGAAUUUGUUCUUGUAUGAUGAUGUGCAAGUUAU